UACGUAGGGUGCGAGCGUUUGUCCGGAAUUAUUAGGGCGUAAAGAGCUCGUAGGCGGCUUGUUGUCGUCUGCCGUGAAAAUUCACAGCUUAACUGUGGACGUGCGGUGGAUACGGGCAGGCUUGAGUUCGGUAGGGAGACUGGAAUUCCUGGUGUAGCGGUGGAAUGCGCAGAUAUCAGGAGGAACACCGGUGGCGAAGGCGGUUCUCUGGGCAAUUAUCUGCGCU
rnacentral:rRNA from 1 species